rnacentral:lncRNA from 1 species
ACUCUUUCAACGAUGUGCAUGCCCUCUCUGGUGCGCCUCCAAAACUCGAGUACAACUCCAUUACAUCCAUAUUUAUAGAAAGACUGAUGUGAGAACGUAUUGUUCCCCAUGACCCUUUUUGUUUAUAUAUCUCAAAAUACAUUGGUUAUUUCAUAUUAAAAAAGGAGAAAAAUUAGAAAAGGAAAAAAAAAAUCAAAGAGGGAUAUCACCAUGCUUUUAUGCACGUUUGUCAUUUCUCCAAUCUGAUGCAUCUUAUGCAUUUUAGGCUGCACUUCAAACAUCAUCAACAGAACGAUAGAAAACCUAAAAGCAGUUAAAGAAAUUAAACAUAAGAAGGCUAUGCGGCCAUGCCAAGCUUGGCAUUCUUGAGGCUUAUUGCUCAAAAUUUAAUAUAUUUUUUAGCUGGCCAUUUCUCACUAUUUCAAUAAAUGAGGAGCAGGGAGAUUUCUUGACAUUGUUUUGUUUUCCUAUUUUUUAUUUUAAAAAUAAAAUAUGAAACUCAAGAUAGAAAAUCUGUUUACUAUUCAACCAAAGAAAGGCUUGGUGUUGUUAUUUUAAUUUUUCUUUCUUUGAAAUUUGUUUUCAUAAUUUUUUUGAAAAAAUGAAACUCAAAUUACUUUAUUUUUAUUUGUUUGAAAAAAUAACAAAAAUUUACUAAAAAGGUGAAUCUCUUUCCAUGAAAUUCCUCGGUUUAUUUCUUCAUCAUUUGGAUCUCUGCCUCUCAUGUUAUUACUUGCGACUCAUGUUGUGAUUCCCACCGCCACCCCUCGAUCCUAUUUCUUCUAUAUUCUUUCCCUUUUGCAACAAUGGAAUCUUUAUCUCUUCCUUUAUAUUAUUGCAAUCCUAAACUUUCUCAAUCCCCAAUCUACUCUUUAUUAUCUCUGUUGCCACCGCAAUAGUUCUAAUAGUCAUCACCUCUACCUCUAUCUCCUUUUCAUCCUGUCUCUCUUCUGUCCACUCUUUCACUCUUCCUCUCCUCAAACUUUAAUCUAAACCCCUUUCUUCAUACAAUUUAGAUUCUUAAUUUUUUCUCUAUUAUCACUACUAUUAUUAUCACUACCAUUGACUGUUGCCAUCGCUUUUGUCUCCACUCUCCUAUCUUCUUUUUGUUCCUUUCAUCCUCUUCAAUAUCAAUCGAUCUAGUAUAGCAAAGGAGUAAUCUAAUUUUUCAAAUGGUUGACCAUAAAACUAUAAUAUUACAUCAAACAUUUUCAAAAUAACAAAAUAAGAGUGUAACUUCCUUUUUUUUAACAAAAAAAGAAAAAUAGAAAUUAAGGUAAACACAAAUCAAAGAUGUCUAUAAAUUAUGAUAAAAAUUGAUGGUUAGGAGUGCGCAUUGCUUCAUAAAAAAAAAAAACUUCAAUAUGACAAAUCUUAUAUUCAUGUGCAAUCGUACAUAUGACUAAUCUUAUACUCACAUCUAAAGGCUGAAAUGAAAUUAAAGAUAUAGAAAAUAUAUAAAAUUAGUUGGGUAUGAUCAUACCAGCACUAGAGCAUCAGAUUCUACUGAAAAUACACAGUUUAGCAUGUUUGGACAAGAGUUGUUUUUGAAUGGAUGGCCUCUGGGAAGUCCAUGUAUUGCAAACUUUAGUCCUUAUGCUGCACAUCUGCCAACCCUCUUUUUUCUGCGCUUUUGAAAGUAUC